UACAGAGGUCCCAAGCGUUGUUCGGAUUUACUGGGCGUAAAGGGCGCGUAGGCGGCAAUUCAAGUCAGCUGUGAAAUCUCCGGGCUUAACUCGGAACGGUCAGCUGAUACUGUUUUGCUAGAGUGCAGAAGGGGCAAUCGGAAUUCUUGGUGUAGCGGUGAAAUGCGUAGAUAUCAAGAGGAACACCUGAGGUGAAGACGGGUUGCUGGGCUGACACUGACGCUGAUGCGCGAAAGCCAGGGGAGCAAACGGG
rnacentral:rRNA from 1 species